rnacentral:rRNA from 1 species
AUGGCUUCGAAACGCCUUUCAGAAGCAGGAUAUGAACACUAUGAGAUCAGUAGCUACUGCAAUUAUGUUUACGAGUGCAACCACAACACAACGUAUUGGGCAAACCGGCCAUUCUACGUGUUUGGUCUUGGAUCAGCAAGCUACAUCAACGGUGUCAGGUUCUCUAGGCCCAGAAGAAUGAAGGAGUACGUGCCAUAG